rnacentral:pre_miRNA from 1 species
UAAAAGUUGGGAUAAAUCGAUAUGUGGUAAUUUGGAUGACAUAAUUAACUUUGUAAUCUCAUCCAUCUUAUCAUUUAUCAAAAUAUUCUGACAUG